ensembl:lncRNA
GCCUGUGUGGGUUUAUCACGAUUCAGUGUUAAUUUCUGGCCAACUGGAAAGCGAAGUACUCCAGGUAGACAGAACCAGCAACCCCACCUCCAUGCCUGACCCUGUCUUUGAACUGCUCCCAGGAGCCACUGUCUGCAAGAGGGACCCUGAGGCCCAUCACAGGCUUCAGAAUGAACUACAGGACAUGGAAUGUGGAAGAUGAGCCUUUUGCAAAGAACAGUGCAGCUCACCCUGGAGGCAUCUUUCAGCCACCUGAGGCUCCUCCCGUGACAGCGAUGGCAAACUCUUGCACAACCAUCUCACACUUACCAGACACUGUUCUAGCACUUUCUGUAGGAACCCACUGAUCUAAUCCUCACAUCAACCCCAGGAAGUAGCUUCCACUAUCCGUCCCAUUUUACAGAAAAGGAGUCUGAGGGAGAGAUGCACAUUAGGAAACACACAAGACACAUGGUGCGUAAAUGUUACCGUCUGUAGGAAGAAUGCUGCCAGAACAUCUGUUAGUUCCCCGCAGGUAUCUCCUUCCGACCUGUGGAAGCCACCAUUUCUCACUUUCUCACUUUCACACCUCAUAAUCCUUCUGGCCUUUACUCUAAGGAAAUAGUAGGUUUUUAAGACUUUGGUACCAAAUAAUCAGUGUUUCUCCUAGGCAAAUGGCAGGUUUCUAUCAGCCUAAAUUUGCAACUGAUUAGGUUCUCACUAGAAAAUCUGAAGCCAGAUAUCUAGUCCAUUUGCAGCAAAUGCCCCAAAUCUUUACACUAGUCAUGUCUAUCCUCACUCCUGGAUCUAUUAUCCUCCAGCCUCUAUAAUAUGUUUUCUUUUUUAUGUUUAAUUUUAAUGUAUACAGUGGUGGAUUUUAUAUAUCUUUGAAAGCUUCCCUAAAUCCUUCUUGAAACACAGGGAGAUAUAAAUAAAUAAACAGACUCAAGCAAGCCUAAGAAAAACAAUAUCAAUAUAAAAACAAAGCAAAGCAUGCCUAUAACUUCCACAGGAUACAUUUUCUUGGUACACAUUUGUGUUUGUUUGCUUUUAACACCAUGUUCUGUUAAUUCCAAUUGUUAUAAGUGGCGUGUAUUCUAGACUUGAGCAAUAAAUGG